rnacentral:rRNA from 1 species
ACGAACGCUGGCGGCGUGCUUAACACAUGCAAGUCGAACGCUGAAGCUCAGCUUUUGUUGGGUGGAUGAGUGGCGGACGGGUGAGUAACACGUGAGUAACCUGCCUCCUUCUUUGGGAUAACGCCCGGAAACGGGUGCUAAUACUGGAUAUUCACUGGUCUUCGCAUGGGGGUUGGUGGAAAGGGUUUUUCUGGUGGGGGAUGGGCUCGCGGCCUAUCAGCUUGUUGGUGGGGUGAUGGCCUACCAAGGCUUUGACGGGUAGCCGGCCUGAGAGGGUGACCGGUCACAUUGGGACUGAGAUACGGCCCAGACUCCUACGGGAGGCAGCAGUGGGGAAUAUUGCACAAUGGGCGCAAGCCUGAUGCAGCGACGCCGCGUGAGGGAUGGAGGCCUUCGGGUUGUGAACCUCUUUCGCUCAUGGUCAAGCCGCAACAAUGGUUGUGGUGAGGGUAGUGGGUAAAGAAGCGCCGGCUAACUACGUG